rnacentral:rRNA from 1 species
AGUGAACGCUGGCGGUAGGCCUAACACAUGCAAGUCGAACGGCAGCACAGUAAGAGCUUGCUCUUACGGGUGGCGAGUGGCGGACGGGUGAGGAAUACAUCGGAAUCUACUUUUUCGGGGGGGAUAACGUAGGGAAACUUACGCUAAUACAGCAUACGACCUACGGGUGAAAGCAGGGGAUCUUCGGACCUUGCGCGAUUGAAUGAGCCGAUGUCGGAUUAGCUAGUUGGCGGGGUAAAGGCCCACCAAGGCGACGAUCCGUAGCUGGUCUGGGAGGAUGGUACGCCACACUGGAGCUGAGACACGGUCCAGACUCCUACGGGAGGCAGCAGUGGGGAAUAUUGGACAAUGGUCGCAAGCCUUAUCCAGCCAUACCGCGUGUGUGAAGAAGGCCUUCGGGUUGUAAAGCCCUUUUGUUGGUAAAGAAAAGCAGCAGGUUAAUACCCCGCUGUUCUGACGGUACCCAAAGAAUAAGCACCGGCUAACUUCGUG